rnacentral:tRNA from 1 species
GGGGAUUUAGCUCAGCGGCAUAAGCGCCUGCCUUGCAAGCAGGCAGUCGUGAGUUCAAUCACCA